AUUAACCGUGUCAUCCUUUCGGGAUGUGAAAACCCGGCGCAAUUCUGGGCGGAAGGACAAGGAACGGGAGACCAAACAUAUCUUUGCUCGGUAAGCCCGAGUUCUGACGAAGUGUCCCACAGACCUGUGACUACCACCACAGUCAGCAGGUUCAGCCAGCACCUGUGCAGACCCUGGACCUCCACACUGUCAAGAAAUUGCAUUUUCCUGUGAAAUGCUGCACAAUCCGAACAGCGCUACAGGUGAGAGUCCCUAAAGGGAAUCAUGGGCAUGAAGGAAAAUGACCCUGUGGACAUAUCCAACACAUUGGACAUUAGCCCAGCUUUCAAAUGCAUCUCUCAGUUAGCUUUGGAACCUGCUGCUGGGAUUUCCUCCUGGAUCCCUCGAACCAGAAAGAAAGGGGCAACCAUUUUGAUCAUCCUCCUUGAACCGGCCACACCUCAGGUGAGAUAUCGUGGUGACAACUCAUCUAGCAACACCAUUACCCAAAGGUACUGGCACAGUCUGUUUUGGUAGUACACAUGAAAACAAACAAGGAAAGAGACAGAAAACACAGGCAAUUCCUUGGAUGUCGUGUUUUGCUGAGGCUAUAAAGUGGAGGAGGCAGAGAUUUGUUGGGAUUCUUGCUCAGCACACACAGCCCAA